UACGUAGGGGGCAAGCGUUGUUCGGAAUUACUGGGCGUAAAGGGCGCGUAGGCGGCAUGGCAAGUCAGGAGUGAAAGGCCUGGGCUCAACCGAGGAACUGCUUUUGAUACUGCCAAGCUAGAGUGCGGAAGGGGCAACUGGAAUUCCCAGUGUAGCGGUGAAAUGCGUAGAUAUUGGGAAGAACACCUGAGGCGAAGGCGGGUUGCUGGGCGACACUGACGCUGAGGCGCGAAAGCCAGGGGAGCAAACGGG
rnacentral:rRNA from 1 species